UCGGAACCACAGCAGAGGCGGCUGCUCCUGUGCGUGGGGCUCGGCCGGGUAUUAUUAACUCUCCUCCUUAAGCCGAGGGAGGUGACGCUCCCACAGGAUGGUCUGUGGACCCAGGGCUUGGAAUGGGCCCUCUUAGAACUUCACUGCCGCUCCUUGCGACUGGCUCUGUGGCCGCCCAAGGCCCCAAAGCUGUGAGACUUGGCAGAAUAAUUGGGACUGAGAACCCGACGGAGCCGUUCUGAGGAGAAGGUGGGCGGGCCCGGGCCCAUCCCUAAGGCCAGAUGCUUUGGAAAGGCAAACACAGGAGAGGUGGAGAAACUAGUUCCUGCACAUGGGGCUGUUUGGAGGAAUUUAACUACACCACCUACAGAAGACAGAUGAUAAGAAUUUAUGGUAUUGGGGCUUCCCUGGUGGCGCAGUGGUUAAGAAUCCGCCUGCCAAUGCAAGGGACACAGGUUUGAGCCCUGGUCCGGGAAGAUCCCACAUGCCGUGGAGCAACUAAGCCCGUGCGCCACAGCUACUGAGCCUGCGCUCUAGAGCCCGCGAGCCACAACUACUGAGACCGCGCGCCACAACUACUGAAGCCUGUGCACCUAGAGCCCGUGUUCCACAACAAGAGAAGCCCCCGCAAUGAGAAGCCCGCGCACCGCAAUGAAGAGUAGCCCCUGCUCGCCGCAACUAGAGAAAGCCCACGCGCAGCAACGAAGACCCAACA